rfam:Salmo salar isolate Sally breed double haploid chromosome ssa22, whole genome shotgun sequence.
UCCCAUAUGGCUCAGUUGGUAGAGCAUGGCACAUGCAAUGCCAGGGUUGUGGGUUCAAUUCCCAUAGGGGAC